rnacentral:rRNA from 1 species
AACGAACGCUGGCGGCAGGCUUAACACAUGCAAGUCGAACGCAUCCUUCGGGGUGAGUGGCAGACGGGUGAGUAACGCGUGGGAGCGUGCCCUUCAGUUCGGAAUAACCCAGGGAAACUUGGGCUAAUACCGGAUACGUGCGAGAGCAGAAAGAUUUAUCGCUGAAGGAUCGGCCCGCGUCUGAUUAGCUAGUUGGUGAGGUAAUGGCUCACCAAGGCGACGAUCAGUAGCUGGUCUGAGAGGAUGAUCAGCCACAUUGGGACUGAGACACGGCCCAAACUACUACGGGAGGCAGCAGUGGGGAAUAUUGGACAAUGGGCGCAAGCCUGAUCCAGCCACGCCGCGUGAGUGAUGACGGCCUUAGGGUUGUAAAGCUCUUUCGUCCGGGACGAUAAUGACGGUACCGGAAGAAGAAGCCCCGGCUAACUUCGUGCCAGCCGCCGCGGUAAAAC